GAUGAACGCUAGCGGCAGGCCUAAUACAUGCAAGUCGAGGGAGAAGUUGUCUUCGGAUGACAGGAACCGGCGAACGGGUGCGUAACACGUAUGCAAUCUGCCCCUGACUGGAGCAUAGCCCGGGGAAACUCGGAUUAAUACUCCAUAACAUUAUGAAAUGGCAUCAUUUUUAUAAUCAAAGUUCCGGCGGUCAGGGAUGAGCAUGCGGCCCAUUAGCUAGUUGGUGAGGUAAUGGCUCACCAAGGCUACGAUGGGUAGGGGGUCUGAGAGGAUGAUCCCCCANACUGGUACUGAGACACGGGACCAGACUCCUACGGGAGGCAGCAGUAGGGAAUAUUGGGCAAUGGACGAAAGUCUGACCCAGCCAUGCCGCGUGCAGGAUGACUGCCCUAUGGUUGUAAACUGCUUUUGUACGGACGAAAAGGCUUUCUCUAAUACAGGGGGCUCAUGACGGUACCGUAAGAAUAAGCACCGGCUAACUACGUGCCAGC
rnacentral:rRNA from 1 species